rnacentral:lncRNA from 1 species
GUGGGAGGAAUCUUACUCAUUUGAAAAGAGCUUGACUGUUACAUCAGAGGACCCCAGGAUGGUCUGAAGGAGGAGAGGCUGUUUCUUCUUAAAGCUUUCAAGUGGUGUAUAAGUCCCUUUAUGCUGCUAUAAAGGAAUACCCAAGACUGGGUAACUUACAAAGAAAAGAGAUUUAUUUGGCUCAUUGUUCUGCUGGCUAUACAUGAAGCAUAAUGCCAGCAUUUGCUCUGGUGAGGGCCUCAAGAAGCUUAUAAUCAUGGAAGAAGGAGAUGGAGAGCCAGCAUGUCACAUGGAAGCGUGAGAGGAAGCAAGAGAGAGGGGGGAGGAGGUGCUAGGUUGUUUUAAACAACCAGUUCUCUUGUGAACUCAGAGAAAACUCACUCAUUACUGUGAGGACAGCAGCGGCAAGUCAUUCAUGAGGCAUCCACCCCCAUGACUCAAACACCUCCCACUAGGCCCACCUCCAACACCGGAGGCCACAUUUCAACAUGUGAUUUGGAGGGGACAAGCAUCCAAUCCAUAUCAGGUGGGGAAGGUCAGGAGGUGGACAACAGAAUCAUUGUUGCCCAGUUUAGGACUUCUCAAAUUUUAGUGUACAUGGAAAUCACUGGAGUUCUCAUUAAAAUGCAAAUUCUGAUUCCAUAGGUCUGGGAGUGAAGUCAGUGGGUAGAAGAGCUGAUUCAGCAUUGCCAAGGCAUUCCCAGGUGAUCCAGUAUGGCUGGUCUUUGGACCACACUGAGUAGCAAGGCCUUAAAUAAUUUGUAUGUCUUGUGUUUCCUGUUUCAAGCUGAUGCACGAUGUUAGUAGGAUGAGGAAUACAUUUUAUAAGCUAUCCCCCUAUCUGUCAGAAAUGAAGAAUGAAUAAGUAAUGAUUGCAAAGCAUAUGAAAAAUCAUGAGGUCACACAUUCUGUCUUCUGAAUUAACACUUCAAGCAGAUCUGGUUUUUCUCAUGAGAUUGCAAAGCAACUGUUUAUUUGAGCAUCCUCUCCCCUCCCCUCCCCCUCCGCCUCCCCUCCCCUCCCCCUCUGCCUCCUCUCCCCUCUCCCUCCGCCUCCCCUCCCU